rnacentral:lncRNA from 1 species
AAUGUUGCUUAAAUAUGGGAGGAAACCGUAAAAAUACAGGCUUGGUACAGAACAGCUCCCACAUCGUGGCCAACCCACUGCCACGUCGUGACACUCAUUAAAAGUGUUGGGUUUUCUAUGCAUCAAAUACACUCUAAACUAGGUAGCAGAAAAAUAAAAACUAUGAUAUACCUAAGUGUACAUGCAACCUAUGGAUCUAUAGUUUCUUGCUAAUUACAUCCACCCUAGAAAAAUAAAAUAGAAAGAAGAAAAACAUACAUCUUUUGUAACCCUUGAUCUCCAUGCUUGAGAUCAUGUCCUCCACGAAGUUGCUUGGAUGAGAGGACUCAACCCGGCAUCCCUCUAAUGGUAUCACACCCAUUAACACCAAUGAAUAGAAAAAAAAUAACUAGAAGAAGGGUCAAUUUCACAAAUCCUAAGAGGGUUAGAAAUCGUACCUAAGAGGGGGAUGAAGAGGAGUUGGUGAAACUUCAAGCCAAGGUGCAAGGAUGAAUGAAAUCCCUAAGGCCCUAUUUAUUGUCUUGGAUUCCUUACUAUGUCUAGUUACUAUGGACAAUCCACUAAUACUCAUGACAGUCUUGAAUCACUACUUACUUCAAAGAGUAUGAUCAAUUGUAGACAUUUCGAGUAAAUUCAUACUCGGGAAGUGAGUUCCAAACAUGCAAAAGGCGAACACAGUGAUAAGUUAAUUGAAAUGACUGAUCUCCAUCAUAUAUUAAUAUCUCUACUUAAUAAUCAUUAAAUUGAAUUAACACUUAUACAGCUUAAUUUCUCAAGUUUAAAACAAACUAAACUAAGAGUGUUUAAGCCAAUUCAUUUGCAAAUCUAAUGCAUAUCAACUUUUUCUGACUGUCAGACUUGGUAAAUGACAUUGUCUUAUGGGAUGGAUCAACUAUGAUUCUUUGACUAUGAUGUAUUUACAUUUGACUCACUAUCAAAUGUGCUGAAACUUACUGCUUAUGUAUCAUGAGAGCUUGUGUGACUUGGGAUCCAUACUUGAGGUAAUUUCACCCUUAAAGUCACAAGAAAUUUCAAAAGGACCAUUAAUGAUUGAAUUUGAACAAAGAUGUCCCUAAUGAAUCUCUUUUAGUCACAUUGUAUUCUUUGCACUUUAACCAACUACAAUGUAAUACUCUAAGUUUGUUAAAUCCACUAUGGUGUAUUACUUGGUACUCUUCCAAGCUAAUACUUCACCAUUCAGUAAAAGCACAAAUUCCGACUACGAACACAAUCGUCUAUAUCAAUAUGGAACUUAGCAUCAAUGUGAUCUUUACAAUGAUAUCUUCCAUACUAUGAAGAUCCUUUCCAAUGUCCUCCUAGGGCACUUAAUAAAUUUCUUGAUCUUGAGUCAUUGAUUCUUUCCAAAUUGAUCUGAUCCAACUUAUCAUGCUCAAGGCAUAUGAGUCAUCUGAUCUGGUACAUGUCAUAACAUAUAUGAUCAAUCCCUUAGCAGAAGCAUGUCGGACAUGACACAUAACCUCUAGUUCAAUAGUAGAACUCGGACAUUAGCAUCGCUCAAUGUUAUGCCAUAUUUAUUAAGCACGAACCUUUCCAAGUUCUCAAGAUACCAUGUACUUUAGCUUAAUCCAAAGAAUCACUUGGAUCUAUCUCCAUAGAUCUGAUAUUAUGUACGUGUUUUGUAUCUCCCAUGUAUAUCAUAGCAAAACUAUUCCCAUACCAAGCCAAUAUUUUACACUUGCUAAGUCAUAACAUAGUUUCCUAUGAAUCGUACACUAUCUAUAUACAACACAAGGGUGACAACAAUGCUCCCACUAGCACUGACAUAUAUUUGGCUCAUCUAUGUUUCUUGAAAUUCAAACUCCUUGAACUUUCUCAAGGAAACAAAGAUUCCAAUUACUCCCACCAGAUUUGACAUAUGUAUGGCUCAUCUUUAUUUCUCGAAAUCCAAACUCUUUGAACUUUCUCAUUGAAAUAAUGAUCCCACCCGUGAGAUGAUUAUUUUAGUCCAUAAAUAAGCCUAUUAAGCUUAUACAUCCUUCACAACCUAUCUUGGCUUGAUUAUGUGUUUGUUCCUAUUUAUGCUUGUCUCUUCUUGAAGAUCCACUUAUGCCUAAUGGUUAAGUCCAAGUGCUUAAUCUACCAAGUUUCAACAUGCAUGGUCUGGAUUUCGUUUUCCAUGUCUUCCUUCCAUUUUGUAGCCACUAGGGCCUACCACAGCUUCCAAUAGCCAGUAACUCUGAUUACUAUCUACCUGUGACUCAUAUACCUCAAUAAUAUAAACUUAUAUAACUAAAUGUAUGACGUCCUCUAUCAGAUCUAUAAGAAAAAAUGGAAAUAUGUCAGUUUCCUUUAUAGCUCUUUCAAUCCUGAAUUGAAUGUUAUGUACAAGUUUAGGUUCUUUGUUGGUUGAAUCUUGAAUUUUAUCACAAUCAAUAUGGCUCCCACUAGACCUUUUGCAUAUCAGCUCCCUCUAUUGGAAGAUUGCCCUCUGAGUGACAUACACUUUGUUCUCAAAAGGACGUUAAACAACUAUCCAAAAUGCUUGAUGGGUUCUCUAACGAGAUAACACAUCUCUAUUCUAAGUUCUUGAUUGUCGAUCGCUUCAUAACGAUCGUAAGCCAAUUAAUCAUAAACUUACAUAUGUGGAAGUGAGGACUGAAUACCACUUCACAUAUCAUAGAGUGUUUUAUGAACCUUACUAGUUGAUACAAGACCAAAGGACUUCUCGUAACACUAUUCAUGGUACAAUCCAUGAAUUGUUAACAAACAUAGUUUGACUCAUCUAGUACAAAAUCAAUGAAUGAUUUGUUUCUCUAUCCAACUAAAACUCCUAGUGGCAGUGUUCUGGGUGGAUAUAGCUCAUGAGAAUCUUUCACAAGCCCCUAGAUGAUCGAUAAAGUUUGGACUGAGAUUCUCACUAUGAGUGUCUCAUCCUAUUACCCAGUUGAUUCUUAACUUCUCUUUAUGAGAGCUCUGAACACCUGAAAGGUUCCAAACUCACGUUCAUACGAACUUAGUCUUACCUUGUAUCGUGGUAAAUUUGAACGGUCCAUUUGUGCAAACUAAUUCCAAUAGAUAUUCACAUCACCUAGUGAUGUAUUAUUCAUCAUCUAUCUUGAUAAACAAGAUUUGCAUUUAUCAUAAGACUCGACGUCAGAUGAUAUCCAAAUUCUGAUCCAACUGGAUACUUGGUAAUGCAUUUCUCAUUUAUGUAUCCAAGACUACGAUUCCACAUAUACACUUCACCUAAACCAUUUGGACGUAUUUGAAUUAGUACUUAUUAUGAUCAGUCUGAACGAUCCAUUAGUUAAACUAAUUUCAACAUAUAAUUGCACAAUAAUACACCUUAUUCAAACAUUCAAAUCAAGUAUGAACUAUUGUUACUAUACCAGCUUCAUAGAUUUCAUGAGUCUCUUUUAAUAUGUUAGAAUGUUGUACAUUUAAAUAAGUCAGAAUGGUCUCAUGAAACAUUAUACAAACAAUUUGAAUUAUAAGACCAUAGACUAAACAUUUGAUAAGUUGUCUUUUAAUCCUAUGAAUAGUAGCAAGGGCUUGGCAUUCAUGAUCAAACUAUCUUCUUCAUGCUUUAGUCUUCGUACUUCAUUUCAGUCACUGCACAUUCUUGCAAAUGUCAAUACUUAAUCCUUAGAAGUAAUUUUCAAUGGUGUAAUAAAUUCAUAUAUCUUAUUGAGCACCAAACAUGGGAGAACUAGUUAUCUUUUGAUCCAAUGGAUAGUAGCAUGGGCUCGUAAUCCAUGAUCAAAUUACUUUCUCCAUGUUUUAGUCAUUUAACCUCAAAUAUAUAUAUAUAUAUAUANCUUCAAAUAUAUAUAUAUAUAUAUAUAUAUAUAUAUAGGGCAUGUAUACUUUCUUAGUCCUUUCUUGUUAUGGAAACGAAUUUCUAUCAGACCAUGUCUCAGAAUAAGCAUCCAUUUGUCCUUGGCAUUUGGGCCUAGAUUAGGUAUACCGGCACUAAUCGCCUUUUAAUCCAUGGACAAUUGGAUUUCUUCUUCUUGACACUUCUAUUCAUGAUAGUAAAAAUAUGGGAGUGUUUUGAAGUUUGAGUUUCUAUUAUUGGCCACGUUAGUUUCAAAAGGAAACCUCACCAUGCUACACAACUCUUUCAUGGACAUUCCAAGUUGUUCAUAUCAGAAUCAGAGUGAACUGAUUAUAUGUACACGUCAACUAGUUGACUAACCCCAGUCAACUCCUAACUCAAGGAAAUUCCAUUUUUCUUUAAUAUGUCAGUUUACAACGUACACUCAACAAUUGCUCUUUCUAAUAGAUUAGAAUGCAAUGUUUGGGGUAACCUAGGAAAAGCUUUAUCAAAGGUAUAAUUUGUCUUUUUUGUUUGUGAGAACUAUUCCCAAACUACGAAUUCGACAAGAUUGAUCAUCCUCCUAGUUUAUCCUUUCAAAGGUUUUAUAGCAUUAGAUUUUAGUGGAUACGAUUAUAGACAUCAUUCAAUAUCAAUUUCCAUUAUAGUUUGUUUUACCUAUCCUUAGAAAAUAAUCACCCUAAAUAAAAUUAUUUAAGAAGGCUAAGAUCCAUCGGCUUCAUGAUGUGUAAAGGGAUUCCAUAAACACAUCAUAAAGUUAUUUAGAUAGGAAAACCCUUUACCAAUUUUCAUCACCAUGGAAUUUCUAGAACUUUUAGAUUCACUGAUUAUUAAUGGCAUGUUAAUCUCGGACUAUGUUCAUCUCAAAUUCAAUGUUGGGGUCGUCGUGGAUCAAUGAACAGGUGGUGAGUCGACCAUACAAAAUUGUGUCAUCCCCGGCUCAAUGUUACGCUUGAGAUUCACGUACUCACAAAUUGACAUGUCGGUUAACCACACGAGCUCCAUCAACAAGUUAUAAAGAGAAUUUACAACUUUUAUGGAUAACAAAAGAUUCACAUUAAAUAUAUUGUGAAUUAACCAUGCAAAAUGGCAUUGUCCUCGGCUCAAGUUACGCUUAAUAUUCGCAAGUUCCAUUUCAUUCUUAACUAUACUCUAGAUUGAUAUGUCGGUUAACCACACAAGCUCCACCAACAUAAUAUAAAGAGAACGUGCAGUUUUCAUGGAUAAUAUGAAUUUCACAUUCUAUUAAUAAAAUGAGAUUUUGUUUUAUACUUGUAUUUAGAAUACUUUUAUAUUGAUCAUUAUCACUAUCAAACCAUUUCAGUAACUUCAUUCUCAAAAUACAAUAGGGCGGUGAGGGUGGUAAGCACGAAACAUAUUAAAAACCGACCUCAUUAGGAAUCAUAGAGACCUCCUUAGACCCCUACAUCAGAAUGGGUGAGCCUAGUCAUUGUAAGACUGAUAAUGUCAAUACUUAAAACAUACGAGGGCGCAUGUUAUAACUUUCUUAUACAUAUAAUAGACAAAAUUCUAAUAUAUAUAUAAGGGAUAAUUUCAAACUCUUUAGAUUUAGUUGUCUAUUAUUAAUUCCAGUGGAUCUGAUACCACUGUUGGGUUUUCUACACAUCAAAUACACUCUCAACUAGGUAGCAAAAAACUAGAAACUACGAUACACCUAAGUGUACAUGAAACCUAUGGAUCUAUGGUGUCAUGCUAAUUACAUCUACCCUAGAAAACAAAAAUAAAAAGAAAAAAAACAUACCUCUUAUGUAGCCCUUGAUCUCCAUGCUUGAGAUCUUGUCCUCCACGAAAUUGUUUGGAUGAGAGGACCCAAACCAGAAUCCCUCUAAUGGUAUCACACCUAAUGACACCAAAGAGUGGAAUAAAAAUAAGUAGGAUAAGGGUCAGUUUCACAAACCCUAAGAGGUUUAGAAAUCGUCCUAAUAGGGGUAGGAAGAAGAGUUGGCGAAACUUCAAGCAAAUGUGCAAGGAGGAAUGAAAUCCAUAAGGCCCUAUUUAUAGCCUUGCAUCCCUUCCUAGGUUUAGUACUCCUUCCCAUGUAGGACAAGUAUCCUAGAACGAAAUUCACUCCUUUCCCAUGUUGGGUGGAGUGUUUUUCGUCCAACCCAAAUUCAAUAAGGGUUCUAGAAUAUUUAUGAUCAACCAACUAUUGAUAAAUUGAAUAUUCAACCAUUUGAUUAAUUAAACUAUUAAUUGGUUCCCAAAAUAUAUUUCCAAUUAGUUUUUAACUAAUUAUUAACCAUGAUAAUUAAUAAACCAAUUUCUCUUUUAUUUAUUCUACUUAAUUUGGGUUUUAAGGGCAAACCAAAAGGACUCUGCUAUUAUUAGAAAUAUAACCAAUAGUUAAUGACCUUGGACACUCUUUCCAACAAAAAACACACGUUCCAUUUACUCCAUGCUACGUCGUAGGUAUCCUUGCACCACGUUGUGGCACCGGGUUUUUUUUCCCAAAAAUCCAUCUUUGAUCCCUUAUAAAUAGUAAGCUAAAUCAAUAUGGAAUACGGGUGUUACAACUCCCCCCACUAAAAUUAGAUAUUGUCCUCAAAAUCAUUCCUUAAGACUUACUCUGCCACACCUAGCGACCCUACCAGAAUUUCCUGAAUGCCAAUUAGGACUGAGAAGUAGCCUCACACCAACGACCGCAUAUCAACAUUGCUAUUGAAGCCCUAACUUAGCAUACAUCACAUAUCCUGACGAAGAACGAACCUUAACUCUUCGCCUUUGAUAAACCAAUGAAGAUCCAACUGGCCUGCCCGAAAUCAUGAGAACUCUACACUAUUACUGAAUUCCAUGCACACCAAACCAUCUUAUACCACCUCCAUAAUAACUCCACUCUGCAACCCGAACUGAAAGAAUCCCUCCAAAUCUGAAUUAUUACGUUGAUAACUGGACAAUAGAUAUCUUGACCAUUGACUAAUGUCGAUAACCUUGAACCUUAACACAAAGGCGACUCCCACCACAAGCCCCAAAAAUUGGUGCCAAACCAAUACAUAACUCACAUCCUGAUAACCAAAAAUUUACAUGUUCAAUCUAUCUGAGAUCUCCUGAUUUCACGUUGACCUUCCAAUAAACUGGGAUGUAGAAUCUUUACCCGUUUGUUAAGACCGAUAAUCUCAUGCAUGGUCACACAACAAGACUCUACUCUAGAGUCUAACUCAUAAAGGAUACCCUAACCUGUUUGCCACAUGAAUCCAACCCACUGAUCAUUAAGCUUCCCUAUUCCAAACUUUCUCUAAUGCCCCAACCAUGCCAAACACUACCGUGUCCCACCCUUAUGAGUCAUCAACUUACUGCUUUACUAUAUAUCGUGACAUCAUUUAAUCCACUUGAAUGUUAAUAUCGCAUAACACAAUGAUCUUGCCAUCAUUCCGUCACUGGCUUGUGGACUCCCAACCAAUACUUCAUGCCUUGAUUAUAACCUCAAGCUUCUGAAUGAACCAAUCACCAAAGAUAACAUAACCAAAUCGGCCUCGCCCUCAACUAGGAGCUAUCCUAGUCUAACCACUGAUAUAGCUCUAACAGUUCUCCUACCUGAACACGGACCGAUUAAAUAACAAUAACAAGCCUAACUCAACCUGAAUGAAGGUUGUGAUCGCCUCACAGUCUUAUAAUCAUUCGGGCAUCGGUCCAACUCCCCCUAGUGAAUGGUACAACCUAUGUCGUAGACUUACAUUAUUGCCAUAACCACCUACUAGCCUAGUGAAUUCUACGACCACCUCGUAGUCUUACCACACUUCCAUAACUGCCUACCAUCCUAUUGAAUGAUACGACUACCCCGCAAUCUUACAACACUUCCACACCUGUCUACCAACCUAGUGAAUGAUACGGUUACCCUGCAGUCUUACAAAACUUCCACAGCUACCAUGGGCCCAGACCAUGGUCUUGCCAACUCUCCACAAGAAUACCUAACCAAUAUCAAUACGAGCGAAACCCUAGACUGUUAUACCCAAAUAGGAGUUCGAGUCGUGCUUUGAACCCCCAAGACUUCCUCAGACAAGAACACGCAGAUAGAUCCUCACCCGCACCCUGAAUCUAGGUACAAAACCAAAAUAUGUCACUGUCGAUGCUCCAUGUCUUCAGACAAGACAACCUGAUUCCUCAACAUUGCUUUUCUAAUUACAACUAACCAAUGAACAUUAUUCCUUGCAUAAGCUGAUGGGUUUUGAGCAUUCUAACACUCCUAUGGUGUACAUGCAACCCUAGAAACCUUUGAUCUAUGUUUUCUCUAAUAUUCAUGCAAAUAAGAAUUUUCCAAGGUUUACAUCCUAAC